GGAAUAUGGAAGAAGUAGACUAACUGAGUCUUCUGGCCUCCAUCUUUCUCCUGUGCUAGAUGCUUCCUGCCCUUUAACAUCGGACUCCGAGUUCUUCAGCUUUUGGAUCCUGGAUCUAUACCAAUGGUUUGCCAGGGUCUCUUGGACCUUUGGCCACACACUGAAGGCUGCACUAUUGGCUUCCCUACUUUUGAGGUUUUGGGACUCAGACUGGCUUCCUUGCUCUCCUCAGCUUGUAGAUGGCCUAUUGUGUGACUUCACCUUGUGAUCAAGCUUACAAAAAGCUUGAUUGAAAAGAGAAGAGACUGGAACACGGUAUGAUGACAAUAAAGAGAAAAGGUAGAGUUGAAAACGAAGAUACUAACACCUUGAUCU
rnacentral:lncRNA from 1 species